UACGAAGGACCCAAGCGUUAUCCGGAUUUAUUGGGUUUAAAGGGUGCGUAGGCGGAUUGUUAAGUCAGUGGUGAAAGCUCCGAACCCAACUCGGAAACUGCCAUUGAUACUGAUGAUCUUGAGUAGAUUUGAGGCGGGUGGAAUGUGCCGUGUAGCGGUGAAAUGCUUAGAUAUGACACAGAACACCAAUUGCGUAGGCAGCUCGCUAAACUCUUACUGACGCUGAGGCACGAAAGCAUGGGGAUCAAGCAGG
rnacentral:rRNA from 1 species